GGCCACUCUGGAAGGAAGUUUUGGUCAGCCAUGCUUUUGGUAACCAGACAGCAUGCUUGGCGCUACAGCUUAGCCAGAGGAUUGCAGUAGAAACCAGCCAAGACAAAAGAUGCCAGAGUUCUUGGAAAAAUGAAGAGAAGAUUUGGACAUGACACACACAGGGGGAAGCCCACAAGGAGAAGAUGGCUGUCUGCAAUUCAGAAGAGCAGCCUCAGAAGAAACAAACCUGCCAACAUCUUUAUCUGCGACUUCCAGCCUCCAAAACUGUGAGAAAAUUAAUGUGUUGUUUAAGCAUCCAGAAUGUGAGACUUUGUUAUAGCAGUCCUAGCAAAUUAAUACAAGCAGCAAACAACCAGAUGUCCCGCUUGAAAACCUCAUCCAAGAAAUAGAAAAAUAAAUGUUGUGGGAAUGAUGUUUGAUGGCGGGGUUUUAUUCUGCAGUUGCCUACAGGAAUGACAACAGAAAACUGUAAGACGGUGUAUUUCAAAA